AACGAACGCUGGCGGCAUGCCUAUCACAUGCAAGUCGAACGAGAUCUUCGGGUCUAGUGGCACACGGGUGCGUAACGCGUGGGAAUCUGCCCUUUGGUUCGGAAUAACAGUUGGAAACGACUGCUAAUACCGGAUGAUGACGAAAGUCCAAAGAUUUAUCGGCAGAGGAUGAGCCCGCGUAGGAUUAGCUUGUUGGUGUGGUAAAGGCGCACCAAGGCGACGACCCUUAGCUGGUCUGAGAGGAUGAUCAGCCACACUGGGACUGAGACACGGCCCAGACUCCUACGGGAGGCAGCAGUGGGGAAUAUUGGACAAUGGGCGAAAGCCUGAUCCAGCAAUGCCGCGUGAGUGAUGAAGGCCUUAGGGUUGUAAAGCUCUUUUACCCGGGAUGAUAAGGACAGUACCGGGAGAAUAAGCUCCGGCUAACUCCGUGCCAGCCGCCGCAGUAA
rnacentral:rRNA from 1 species